rnacentral:rRNA from 1 species
AGUGGCGGACGGGUGAGUAACGCGUGGGUAACCUGCCUCAUACAGGGGAGUAACAGUUAGAAAUGACUGCUAAUACCGCAUAAGACCACAGCACCGCAUGGUGCAGGGGUAAAAACUCCGGUGGUAUGAGAUGGACCCGCGUCUGAUUAGGUAGUUGGUGGGGUAACGGCCUACCAAGCCGACGAUCAGUAGCCGACCUGAGAGGGUGACCGGCCACAUUGGGACUGAGACACGGCCCAA